ensembl:lncRNA FCGR1BP Fc gamma receptor Ib, pseudogene
AAUAUCUUGCAUGUUACAGAUUUCACUACUCCCACCAGCUUGGAGACAACAUGUGGUUCUUGACAACUCUGCUCCUUUGGGUUCCAGUUGAUGGGCAAGUGGGUGAGUGAUCUCUAACUCAGCUUCUCCUUCUAUGCCACUUUCCUACUUCCAAAGGAUGGGUCCUAUUAACCUGCAGAAGAGCAUAUAGAGAAAGCAGAGAAAGAAGAAAGAUUUAUAAAUUAUGUAAAAUCUCCCAUAUUCAGAGCAUGAUUUUCAUAAAAACUAUGAUUUGUAGGCUUUCUUUCUAAAGUUUUCUGAAUGAGCUCUUUCCUCUGAGCGAAAUGCCUGAAUGUAUAUAUAACAGCAGGAAAGGGCCAGAAUUGCACAAACACUAAAGUAGUCUGCUGACACUGAAGUAGUCUGCUGGGUUUCCCAACAUCCCCUAAACCAGUCCCCUUUACAAGAAAGCAGAGUGGGUUUUUUCUCCUCAGAAAGAGCCAGGCAAAUACUGAAGGCUUCAAAGAGAGGAGUUUGAACCUCCGUUUCCAAUGUACAAGCUGCUGAAGCCCUGCAACGUACUCUCAGAGACAGUAUAGCUCAGAGGAUAAGGAAAACAGCUCCGCUUGGCUUGCCCAAGUCUAAAACCCUGCUUCAUUGCUCCCAACAGAAAAACCUACAUCAGUAAUUUAAUCCUCAGGAGCCCCAGAUUCCCAACACCCAGAUGAGGAUUUAAUAACAAUGAACAGAGGUCUCUGCAGCAGGAGGACACUCUUAAAGGCUGGCUUUUGUAGGUUUCCACUUGCCUAUUUUUCAAAUAAAUCUAAAUAUGUAUUUUUCCCUUGUGCUAUCCACAAAAGCCUCACCAGUUGCUCAGAGCCCUCCCCUUUACUCCACUUGAUCUUUUUCUUUUUCUUCUUGUAAUCUCCAAGUAGACACCACAAAGGCAGUGAUCACUUUGCAGCCUCCAUGGGUCAGCGUGUUCCAAGAGGAAACCAUAACCUUGCACUGUGAGGUGCUCCAUCUGCCUGGGAGCAGCUCCACACAGUGGUUUCUCAAUGGCACAGCCACUCAGACCUCGACCCCCAGCUACAGAAUCACCUCUGCCAGUGUCAAUGACAGUGGUGAAUACAGGUGCCAGAGAGGUCUCUCAGGGCGAAGUGACCCCAUACAGCUGGAAAUCCACAGAGGCUGGCUACUACUGCAGGUCUCCAGC